rnacentral:rRNA from 1 species
ACUCCUACGGGAGGCAGCAGUGGGAAUAUUGGACAAUGGGGCACCGUAGCAUCCAGCGAUGCCGCGUGUGUGAAGAAGGCCUGAGGGUUGUAAAGCACUUUUAGUGGGAGGAAAGUUAACAGGUUAAGAGCUAGUUAAGUUGACGUUACCCACCAUAAACAGCACCGGCUAACUCCGUGCCAGCAGCCGCGGUAAUACGGAGGGUCCAAGCGUUAUCCGGAAUCACUGGGUUUAAAGGGUGCGUAGGCGGAUAACUAAGUCUAAGGUGAAAGUCUGUGGCUUAACUAUAGAAUUGCCUUGGAUACUGGUUAUCUUGAAUUGGGUUGAGGAUGGCGGAAUGUGACAUGUAGCGGUGAAAUGCAUAGAUAUGUCAUAGAACACCGAUUGCGAAGGCAGCCAUCUGGGCCUUGAUUGACGCUGAGGCACGAAAGCGUGGGGAGCGAACAGGAUUAGAUACCCUGGUAGGUCAGU